GACGUAGGGCGCAAGCGUUGUCCGGAUUUAUUGGGCGUAAAGAGCUCGUAGGCGGCUUGUCGCGUCGACUGUGAAAACCCGCGGCUCAACCGUGUGGUCUGCAGUCGAUACGGGCAGGCUAGAGUUCGGUAGGGGAGACUGGAAUUCCUGGUGUAGCGGUGAAAUGCGCAGAUAUCAGGAAGAACACCAAUGGCGAAGGCAGCUCUCUGGGACGGUACUGACACUGAGACGCGAAAGCGUGGGGAGCGAACAGG
rnacentral:rRNA from 1 species